AUUUUCUGCUAGCAUAGAUUUGUCAACAGUAAAAACUUUUAUUUGAUUACCGUGUUUAUCAUAUAUAUUAUACAUUAAUUAUUAAGGUGCACAUAAGAAACUUGAAAAGAUAUGGAAGAGAAAACAGAAAAAACUUCGGAUAGUCGAACACAAUUUUGUAAAUGGUGUAAAGUUCAUAAUGUAUGGGUAGUAUAUACUAAAGGACAUAAAAGUUUUUGUCCAUCUUUACAUUGCGAUUGUUACAAAUGCAAUCGCAUAAAUACGCAAAAGAAAUUAGAUUUUCUGAAGAAUUUAUACUCUAAUGAACAUUCGUCGUAGAAUAUUAUAUACGGUAAAAUAUUCGGAUUAUUAUAAAGAUCUUCGACUUAUUUUAGGUAUGCUUUCACCAGAACGCAUUCCAGUAGCUUACAAAUUGGUCUAUCCAAACAUGUAAAUAAAAAUUAAAAUAACUUUGCAAAAGCAGUAAAUAUUCGACGAGAUUUAAAUAAUUCAUUAUUUUUAUCACUAUUUUCGUAUAUAAUUCGAAAUACAUCCAAUUUCUGCAGCUGUAGAACUAUCGUACCAUAAUUACUGAUUUUUAUUUAGUCUGCCAACUGUUUUCGCUGAACUUUUUCAUAGCAAACUGAUAGAUAUAUUCUUUAAUAGUUACAUUCAACUAUUAAAGAUAUUCAUAUACCUUAAAAAAUUAUAUUUUAAUAAUUUUUAAUAUUAUAAAGAAUAGUAAUUAAAAAAUCGUUGCAUAAAAAAAGUUUGUGAAAAUACCAAGGACAUCCUUGGAAAAUACGGACAAAACGAUUAUAACCAUUAACUUGCAGAAACUCUUUUAGAAUAUAUUACUCAGGAAAAAUUCAGUAUUACAACAAGAAUACUUGUUAAAUGCAUAUCUCAUAUUUUUUAAAUUAAAUUUUCAAUGUAUUUUUUUAGGUAUAUUAUAUAAAUUGCUAAUACUGUAAAACAGGAAGUAAAAUAUGUAUUAAAAAAUUGAUGAUGUAUUGAUCUUAUAAUUACAAAUUUUUAUAUAUUUAACUGAAUUUCUUUUCCUGUGUAUACUCGAAGGUAAAGCAGAAGCUGACUACUUGUACUUCGGAAGUUAAAGUGAUAAAAAUUAACGCCAUUUAUGACUCUGAUGCAGCUAGAAAACCAUUGACAUUCGCGAUGCGUCAGAUGCGUGACGCAUCGGAUCCCCGCUCUUAACGGCACAUUAAAGAUAUAAAGUGAAUUUUGUUAUUUUUAUUUAAUAAAAAUAAUAUUAAUAAUAACAGUAUAUAUAAUUAAUAUCAAUUAUUAAUAAUAAUAAUUACAAUUAUAAAAUUGUGUUAUAUCAAGAAUUAUUGCGCGAUGCGCUAACAGAUAGAUGAAGUACAACUCGGAGCAAGAAGGAAAUUUUUUUGUUGAUCUAUAAACUUAAUAUUUUUCCUCAAAGAAAAAGAAGUUUAGAAUUUAAUUCUAGAAAAGAAAGAAAGAAUAAGUCUAGAAUUUUAUUUGAUUAUAUCGGUAUUUCAUUUCUGAAAUAUUUUAAUUAAAAUUAAACUAUACGUCAUGACAGCAUCGGAAAGUAGUAUUAAGUCUAGGGAAGCGGUAACUUUUCUAACGGUAUUAAUGCCUACAGAACAGUCGAUUUCGAUGUAAAAGGUAAUAGUGUCAGUAAGAAUGAUGUUUAUUUUUAUGUAAUCGUAUCUCU
rnacentral:lncRNA from 1 species